rnacentral:rRNA from 1 species
CGGCGGACGGGUGAGUAAUGCCUGGGAAUAUGCCUUGAUGUGGGGGAUAACUAUUGGAAACGAUAGCUAAUACCGCAUAGUGCCUACGGGCCAAAGAGGGGGAUCUUCGGACCUCUCGCGUCAAGAUUAGCCCAGGUGGGAUUAGCUAGUUGGUGGGGUAAUGGCUCACCAAGGCGACGAUCCCUAGCUGGUUUGAGAGGAUGAUCAGCCACACUGGAACUGAGACACGGUCCAG